CAUCCGCUGCUCAUUUCGCUUCCGGCUUCUUCUGCAACCUUCACUACUUUGACAGCUGCAGAGUCCACCCCACCCCGGCCCGCCUUUCGCUCUUCAACCCCCCCCCUUCAGCUUCGCAGCCAUCAUGGGCCACUCGGCGAAGAUCACCCGAGGCGGUAACAAAAAGCGUAUCAAUCAGGGCCGCCUCGAGGCGAAGCUCCGUGCACAAGGAGCCAAGCCGCACACCACCGCUGUAAAGGAGGCUGUCGAGGCAAGGCGCUUACUCAAGCAGAGGGCGCAGGCCAUCGCGGGAGAGCUGAAGGCGAAGGCGCAGACGAGCGGCAGCGCAUCUAGCCGGUCGCAGCAGCUUCGCCCGGAGGAUUCGGGCCCUUCGAUUGUGCGCAUGGCGCCGAAGCCGAUCGCUAAACCGAAGCCGCCCACGCAGUCGGAGAAGUAGUGGGUAGCACGACGUGUGCAGCUGCGUCGAGGAAGGCGCGCGGCAUGCGUGUGCAUGAGCUGGAUAAAUCGAGUAAAGACCAGACGGAGACGAACCCGCGUGCGUUGUUCUUAUGCGUGUCUGUCUGUGGACACGCCAGAAUGCCGUCCGCUCACGCUAGCGCGGCACAGAAGAAGAACGAGCUCGAGGCGCAGCCACUCUUUUUGCCCGAAAAGGAACUCCUCCUCCGCCACCUCCCUUCUAGCGAGCGUAUCGUUCCCUCUCUUGGACGCCAGUAUUACGGCGUGGCUUCGCUCCUUUUCUUUAUCUCUCUGCUGCUUACGGUGAGCUGUCGGUUUCGUCCUGUGCUCUUCUCCAUCUGUUCAUUCACCUGACUCCUAUUCGACUUUGAUCUCCCACAUACACUCGAGCACGCGCCUACUCACUACUGAGUCCAUCUGCGCGUGCACGCCCAUCCGCCGAUAUCGUUACGCACUUUUCCUCGAG
rnacentral:misc_RNA from 1 species